AAGAACUGUAGCAGUGUGAAAUAAUAAGGUUUUAGCGAAGAUAUAUGUGUUUGGGAAGUAUUGAGCAUUUGACUGGAUAAAUAACACUUGUAUUUUACUGCACGAGUUGUGUGAGAGUUUGUAAACAGAUUAUUUUAUACAGUUUCGCUGUUGGUAACUACAUCCCACAUUUACUUCAAUUCAUCAAGAAUUUAUUGCCGUUUUUAGAUUCUCCGUUUACCGUGGAGGCAAUGCGAGAAAAACAACGUUUUAUUCAAGAAUUCAAGGAUAAUUCAGGAUUUGCUUUUUCUGUUGGUCCAUCCUUCAAGAGUCUCCUGGAGCUGAGUCACGUUGUGUCUAUCGAUCAGCCGGCCAGACGAGAGCGCUUCUUAGAGACAUGCUGCAUGACGCCUUCUGUUUGAUAUUAGGGGUCACAGCCACUGAAUUAACCAACAUACAAUUCUUGUUCAAUCUGGAUAGUUUUUCCCAAACUGAUUCAUGCAUUUUGUUUGUACGCUGUUGUCCAAAAGUUUCUUUGUCAGAUAAAUUACACUUUUUAUAUUUUUAACAGUAGAUGGUCAUGUGGGCUGAGAUCUUAUCACACCAUGUUGAGUCCUCUGUGGCUUGAGCACAGCAUAGAAAAUGCACAUAUACUGUAAAGGAUGCAAUAUAAAGAAUCAUUAAAUGAGCUUAAGCCUGGUUUAUUCAUCUAUAAUGUAUUACUAAUGGAGGGCAAAGUGAUAAUAUCCUGUACCAGGACUGCUUAAACAGUUUUCAUGUUUAAGAUUUGAGUAGAAUGUAAAUUUUUGUGUUUCUUUCUCUACGGUCACGACUUUUUGUUUUACUCGAUCUGAGUCACCAUUUGCCGUCACAGGUUUCACAGUAUUAAGACAACUGCUUUGGCUUAUCGUAUUAGCAAUGACAUCAUUCCUGCUGCCUUCAUUCGUUCGAAUUUGGAACAAAAUGUAAGGUCUUGGUUUCUCCUCAAAUGUUAUUAUCUUGAAAAUUCUAUUAUAGUAUCCGGCGAGGUUAAAGCAGACAACUAAUACUUUUCUUUUCAAUGACAAAGAACAUCAGGUGCAACGUAUGAGCCUACGUGCCAUUUAUCAGUGUGCGUGUGUGUAUUUUACUGGCAGAGAGACUGUAUCUCAUCCUUACUAACAUUUAAUAUUGCAACAAAUCUUUCUUUAGAAGAAAAAUAAAUUCUG